UUUCUCCCUCUACAUACCAUCCGCGUCCUCCGACUGGUCGUGCGUGGAGCUUCUACAACCUCAGGUGGCAUCUGGCUUCUGCGCAGGCCACAUCCCAUCCGCCCAUAAACAGGAAGGAAGACGUCGCCGCCUAGAUUCACCAAACGAACUGACCGACCUUUGUCUCGAUCCUCCUAUCAUGCUCCGACCAGCUCGUCUCCUCAGGCCAGAAGGUACCAAAGCCUACAAAGGAUUCCAUUUUUCAGUUACAGAGUUCCUUUCACUUUGGGACCUCCAAACAACUUCAUAAGUGUAAGCAUCCUAGAGCCAUUAGCCAUGAACAAUUAUUUUUUUAUGGAAAAGGCAAGAGCUCUGCUGCUUAAUUAAGUGAGAAAAAAGAGGUUUAUUUACAAAUGGGGUUGAUUUAUGGUUUUUUGCACAUGACAAGUUUUUGUUGGGUCUGACUUAUUCUAUCUAUAUAUCUAUGGAAGCCUGUUAGAUGCCAAUGUAACUUUUUUAGUUUGGACAAACAGAUGCUCUUGCGAUUUGUACCUGAUACGGUUGGUUGGCAUAAUUGAGUGCCGCUUUGAUGUAGUCGUUAGGUCUCAGUUGUAACCUGCAUCAAUUCUAAUGUAAUUCACAUCAUGAACCGCUUAUGUUGAACUAAUUUUUGGUGCUCAUAAUUUAUCAUGGAAGUUACUUUUUGAGGCUACUUGCAGUGGCUUUUUAAUUUUUUUAUUAUUAUUAUUAUUAUUAUUAUUAUUAUUAUUACUUGACAUUACGAUAUUUUUAUAUAUCGGUGAGGUGCAUGUCGAAGGACUGGAAACAACUUGAAGGCAAAUGAGCGUUUCACGGAGCAAGGAUGUGACGGAACCUCCUAAGUCAUUAGGCCCACCUACAGUUCUCCUUGUCCAAUGGACCUUGGGCAACUGUAACACCCACUUUGUAAGAAAGGUCUAGAAAGAGAAAUUAUAUUACUUUAUAACUAUAUGAGUUAUCUAUGUUUCUCA